rnacentral:misc_RNA from 1 species
AUCAGAUUCUUGAACCCUUUUCUUGCCAAAAGAAGGCAUGCCCGAAGAUGAGUGCAAAGCCUCAAAAGGACCGUUCAAAAAGGAAACAUUUGAAACAGGAUGGGUAGGCCUAAGUGGAUCAGAGUUGUCAAGAAAAUCGAACCCAGGACCCGAGUUUAAUCUGAGAACAGUGGCAGGAGGUGGCACAGGAGAGUCAUAUAGAGCAGGGUCUCCUUGAGCAUGGGCAGAGACUCUUCUUGUCGGUGGAUCUUUGCGAAAGGGUCUAGCAAAGAAGUCUUGAAGAAUAAAG